AGAUAAAUGAAAAUAAAAACACAACAUACCAAAACUUAUGUGAGAUGUCAAAAGUGGUGCUAAGGGGGAGAUUUAUAGCUAUAAAUGCUUACAUUUAAAAGAGAGAGAGAUCUCAAAUCAGCAACAUAAAUUUACAACUUAAGGAAUUAGAAAAAAGAAAAACUAAUCCCAAAGCUAGCAGAAGGAAAGAAAUAAAGAUUAGAGAUAAAUGAAAUAGAGAACAGAAAAA